rnacentral:rRNA from 1 species
GUCUAUUUGGUGGUAUAAAUAGUCUGGCCUGCUCACUGAUAAGAGAAUUUAAGAGCCGCGGUAUUUUGACCGUGCAAAGGUAGCAUAAUCAUUAGGGGUUUAAUUGGAACCUGGUAUGAAGGGUUGGACAAAGGAGGGACUGUCUUUGUAGUAUGAGUUGAAAUUUACUUUUAAGUGAAAAGGCUUAAAUUUAUCAAAGGGACGAUAAGACCCUAUGAAGCUUUAUAAGUUAUUUAAAUUUGGUUGAGUUAGAAUAUAAAGGUUAAAUUUAAUUAUCUUAUUUUAUUGGGGCGAUAUGAGUAUAAAUUUUAUUAACUGCUUAAGGGAAAUACAGAUAUAAGUGUAUUUAAUAAUUGUAUGAUCCUUUUUAAAGAUUAAAAGACUAAGUUACUUUAGGGAUAACAGCGUUAUUUCUUUUGAGAGUUCAUAUCGAAAAAGGAGAUUGCGACCUCGAUGUUGAAUUAAAAUAUCUAUAUAAUGUAGCCGUUAUAAAAGAGGGUCUGUUCGACCUUUAAAUUUUU